GACGAACGCUGGCGGCGUGCCUAAUACAUGCAAGUCGAGCGGGCCUCCGGAGGUGCUUGCACCUCCGGACGGCCAGCGGCGGACGGGUGAGUAACACGUGGGCAACCUGCCUUUGAGGCCGGGAUAACACCGGGAAACCGGUGCUAAUACCGGAUACGUCCUCUUUCGCGCCUGCGAGAGGGGAGAAAGACGGUCUUUAAGGCCGUCGCUCAAAGAGGGGCCCGCGGCGCAUUAGCUGGUUGGGGGGGCAAGGGCCUACCAAGGCGACGAUGCGUUGCCGACCUGAGAGGGUGAUCGGCCACACUGGGACUGAGACACGGCCCAGACUCCUGCGGGAGGCAGCAGUAGGGAAUCAUCCGCAAUGGGCGAAAGCCUGACGGUGUAACGCCGCGUGAGUGAGGAAGGUUUUCGGAUCGUAAAGCUCUGUUGUGAGGGAAGAACAGCAUCCGGAGGAAAUGCCGGAGGUUUGCCGGUACCUCACCAGAAAGCCCCGGCUAACUACGUGCCAGCCGCCGCAGUAAGAC
rnacentral:rRNA from 1 species